ACUUGUUGACGCGUGACCAAAAGUAGUAACAAAGUUACUGGAUUUACAAAAUGGCUCCUUGUGUUCAUUUGUUUUCAGAUAUUCUUAAAGUGUUUUAGAGCCAUGCCGUGGUCAGUGGUCUCAACUGACGAAAAUUAUGAAAAAUGAUUUCGUUGGUACGCAGUUGCUGGGUACUCAAAAAUAAUAUAUUAUUAUUGCCCACAGGAAAGAUCUUGCCAAUUUCUACAGAAUACAAAGGAAAAAACCGGCCAAGUGCGAGUGGGACUCCCACAGGAAGGGUUCCGUAAUAAUGACGCGGGAGUUUAUUUAAGUUUUGUCAUUUGUAUUGCGGAUUAAUUCGUGACAACGUGCUUAUGCUAUUGAGGCGUUUCAUCCCAGAAGAUUUUCACUCAGUAGUACCGCAAGGCGUAGAAUUAAUUUCGGAAUAUGCGGAAAAGUUUAGAGACGAAGGUCGUCAUUCAGAAAAUGUGAUAUUCAACAUAAGAAAUUAUUAUUACCUACCUAUUAUUAUUAUAAAAACAACUGCUUUUCUAGUGAAAACCGACAACUGAUCUCUGAAAUCUGCCGCCGGAUAGCUGAUCUCCAAACGUCUCCUGAGCUGCAGGCAGCAGAAGUAGACAUCAUCGACUCGGGAGUCUGCGACCAGCUUCUGCGUCCAUCUUGCAGCAGAAAUUGGUGCGGUCUGCAGAACGGACAGAUGUGCGCUGGCAAGCUUGCUGGCGGGGUUGACUCAUACCAGGUGAUCUAUGCUAUCGGCUAAUAAUAAUAACAUCUUAACCGUCAUAUGAUAAAUUUUCAAUCGGGCUGCAAUGAUAAUUUUUUUUACGUGUUUAGGUGGCUGCCGUUUCUCAACCCACCAACGGAACGGCAGCUGACGUCCACGAGGGUACAUUACACAUCGCUCUUAACCACUUAAUUAAUGUUAAUGGAAAUCUGUUCUCGAACGAACGAAUUGUCUCGCAGAAGGCCCUCUGGUGAUACUUACCUAUUAUUUUUUUCAUUGCUACCUCAGGGUGACUCCGGCGGUCCCCUCCAAGUGAGGGUCCCUGGUGCCUUGGUCCCGGGGCAAGGCACGCUGCACUAUGUGAUCGGCGUGACUUCCUUCGGGAAUGCGUGCGCGCGCUCGAACAAGCCCGGAGUCUAUACCAGAGUGGCGCAGUAUAUCGACUGGAUCGAGGGGAUUGUGUGGAAAUAAAAUAACGUGAAAAUGUCA